GAUUGUUGUUUCUCUGUAGAACUUGUUACUGCUGUGUGUUGUUUUCUGUCUCAGGUACCAUGGCAGGAGUUCAGAAAGGAAAACUCACUAAGGAAGAAAGGCUGUUACUUAAAUCUAUGAAUGCUCAUCUGCAGCAGAUGAUGGAUAACAACAUGGGUGAAUUUCAAAAGGAGCUUAGACAAAAGUUCCUGCAGCAAACUGAUGAUCUUAGGCAGAAAAAUAAAAAGAGAAUGGACAGUCAAAAGCUUGAGCCAAGAUCACCAGAUUCUGUUCAAAACAAGUCAAGCAAGCAUAAGUGGUAUAAGGAAGAGGAAGCAGGACGUGGACAACAUUCUUACAAACAGACAGCCCACACUUCGAGCAGACCACAUCAAGCUUCUCGCACUCCUAAAUCAAAUAUUCAUUCUUCUUACAAUCAAAUUGUCACUAAGCCUCAACUUUAUGUUUUUACAGGGGAAGGUGAUUAUUUAAAGUGGGAAAGAACAAUGGAGAAGUGGCUGUGCUACAACAGAAUCCUGAAGAAAGAUGCAUUGGCUUAUGUAAUGUCUCAGCUCAAAGGAAACGUUUAUAAGUGGUUAUUGCAAGAAGAAGAUGAUCGCAUGUACUACAAGGAACCAGCUAUCACCACUUGGGAAGAUCUGAAGUUGCUACUAAGGAAGAAGUAUGCAUCCAAAGGCCACACUUCUCUGAAAUCUCCAAUGAAGGAAGUCACAUCUAGCGAGGCAGUAACCUGUUACAUCAAAGAGAAAACCAUUAAACGAUCAUGGUUCAGUGAAAAGGAUAAGGAGGAGUUGUUACAAGUAAUAAUGGAUGUUGAGAAGCAAGUCAAAAGGACCAACACACCACGUCCAUCCACUGAAACAAAGCACCAGGAACCAGUUACUACUGUCUCAGAACUCAAAAAUGCAGGAUCAGACUCAGCUGCAACAAUUCAAGAAGUCCAAGCCGAAACAUCUAUGGAAAAGGAAAAAUCUGAGACAGAACAAGAGUGUUCUCUUUUCUUACCUCAGUCUGAAUUUAAUUUUAAUAAUUACUUUGAUGAACUAACUUGUCUUGAACCGGUGCAACCGAGUAGCAUUGUUUCAGUGUCACAGGUUGCAAAAGAAGAUUCAGACACAAGGAGAAGAGUUGGAACCGCAGAAAAGCUUGCAAUCAGAAACUAUUCCUGAAUCCUUGUCUUAUGACCUGAAAAAGCACUGUAAGGAGUGUAAUAUGGUUACUUCGGUGCCUGAAAUGUUUCUUAUGGUUAGUACUCAUGAUGUGAAACGUUUUGGUCUUGACAAAGUUAAAGAUUUUUGUGUUUCAAACUCUGUUUAUGACAGAAUGCUUAAAUCUUUCAAAGAACUUGAACCAGAUAAAUUUUGAUCAAAAAUGUUUUCAAUAUGGAAAUAAAAACUUUUCUGGUCAUGUUUUGAGUUUUGAAGGAUUUAUGAAUAACCAUGAAAAGAUUUUAGAACCUGUUUUCAAGCCUACCGAAUUCUAUUUUAGAAAACUUUGUGAUUUGUUUGCUAGAACUGAAGAAAAUAGUUUUGUUGUGAACUUACCUAGGAAUGAACUGAUCUCUGAUUAUUUUCUUGCAUCCACAUAUGUUUCGAAAGAACCUAGGAAGUUGCAUGAACCGAAAUUACAUCAUUCUGAUGUUAGAGUUGAAAAUGUGAAGUUUGCAAAUAUCUCUGAUUUUGAGCUUGAUUGUUUGUGUGCUAAAAAUGAUUCUAAACGUGUAGGGUUGUUCUUUGAGGUUAUUCUAGUGUAUAACACUUUCUUUGAUAAACCUGUUGCACAAUUGAAACUAGAGUUCACUGAUUCUGAAUGUAUGAACUUAAUCCUUGAUGAUAUUUGGGUCUGCAAUAUUUUCUUUGAUAUGAAUAAUAGAUGGAGGAAUCAUGCUGUUUUGUGCUUUGGAGACAUUCUGGUCUACAACACUUUCUUUGACAUGAUAACACACUUGACUUGUCCAAAACAAGCUGAAAAAGGUACAGGUGAAGAAAGAGGCUAUAAUGAUCAGAGUAUCCAUGAUGAGUCCUUGGCUAAAUUGGAGAUGCAACAAUCAAAUCUUGGAAGCUGUCUAGCCGCCAGCUUUAACAUAGGAGCAGUCCGAGGAUCAUAUCUCAGCACCCAGAAGGAAUUAAGCAACAAACUCAACUGCAGUGGAAACUACACUCAUCAGGGUCUCACGUCGAAUUGGAAUCAUGUCCAAAGCUUCUCAUAUGAAAGAGUUAUGAAUUCUACAAGUCAGAGUCAUGUGCAGAUUAUAUGGAAGCUUUGAAGCAUACCAAGGGAAGGAACAAGCAUGAGGAAGAAAAACGUUUCAAGCCGCCUGAUCUAAACCAGGAGAGACAUCAGGACGUCACUUGCUUCAUCCUCAUCAAAGAAGCACCUCCAGAUGCAGCAUACAAGCCAAAACCGAUAAAAUACAACUUUGGAAUAAGACUCUUACUCUAUGAUGUUUUUGCUUGUGUUCACUUGUCUUGUUUCAAUGUAUCAGGUUUAAGUAAUGCCUCAGGAGUAAGGAGAGCCAAAUGGAUCAGUCCCUUCUAUAUAAUAGAACCAGUCAGCGACAAUGCCUAUCAAAGAGGCUUGCAAGGUAAGAGUAAUCUGAUUAUAAACUCUGAUGUUACUGACUUGGUCCCUUCUAUUGCAGAUAAAACAGAUUUGAGGUCAAAUCUUUUUGAAGUGGGAGGGGAUGAUGUGAUCAUGGAAAGCACCAAGGAAUGGAAGCAUGAACCUGAACCUGAAGAGCUUGUAGCUGAGGAUGCAACUUUCAAGAAUGCAUGGAAACAAGAAGAAUACAUUGGUCUUGGCCGAAGCUUCAUCAUCCAAGACACCUUACCCAUCAUUCAAGCUACUCCACCUUCAAGCUGAUCAUCAUCUAGGCAAGUAGCUUGUGUGUGCUCUUUUCCUAACCUUUGGUUUUGUCCCACUGGGUUUUCCAAAGGAAGGUUUUUAACGAGGCCACAAGUCUACUUCUCCUAUCUCCUAGAUGAUUGAUCUUGGUCUGUCCACAUGAAGACCUUAUGUUAUAUUUUAAACUAUGCUUUUAUGUUAUUUAGUUUUCGAAAACUCUAGUCUUUGUUGUGUUUCCAAGGGAGCCUUUGUCUUUAUUUCCCUUGUAUUUUCGAGACCUUGUGCAUGUACAAGGCUUCUCUUUUAUAUUAUGGUCGUGACCCCCCUUGUAGCAUCAUCCAUCUUUUUAUCAAAACCUUUGUUUUUCUCUUUU